rnacentral:rRNA from 11 species
UAUCAUAGCCUAAAUACCCCAAAGGCAUCAGAUCCCAUCUGACUUUGGAAGCUAAAUAGGGUCAGGUCUUGUUUGAACAUGGAUGGAAGACCACCAACAAAUAAUAGGUGCUAUAGACA